rnacentral:lncRNA from 1 species
UUCACCGUGGCCCAUGAGACGCUUGCGUGGCACCUGCGUCGCAGGAGUAGGACUAUUUUUGCAAUUAUAACAGUGAAUGAUUCAUCGUGUUCAACUUGCCAACCAGGCUCCCAGUCCGCCCACGAGGCGCUUGCGUGGCGUCUGCGUGGCAAGAGUAAGGCCAUUCUUGCAAUUAUAAAUUUAUUGAGGCUAGUUUUAAAAUAAAU